GUGUCGGUGGUGCAACGGUUCAGCACACGCACCCGGAAAGAGAGAUCUAGGUUCGGAUCCCGGCUGACGCA